rnacentral:rRNA from 1 species
GACGAACGCUGGCGGCGUGCUUAACACAUGCAAGUCGAACGGAAAGGCCCUGCUUUUGUGGGGUGCUCGAGUGGCGAACGGGUGAGUAACACGUGAGUAACCUGCCCUUGACUUUGGGAUAACUUCAGGAAACUGGGGCUAAUACCGGAUAGGAGCUCCUGCUGCUUGGGGGGGGUGGGAAAGUUUCGGCGGUUGGGGAUGGACUCGCGGCUUAUCAGCUUGUUGGUGGGGUAGUGGCUUACCAAGGCUUUGACGGGUAGCCGGCCUGAGAGGGUGACCGGCCACAUUGGGACUGAGAUACGGCCCAGACUCCUACGGGAGGCAGCAGUGGGGAAUAUUGCACAAUGGGCGGAAGCCUGAUGCAGCAACGCCGCGUGCGGGAUGACGGCCUUCGGGUUGUAAACCGCUUUCGCCUGUGACGAAGCGUGAGUGACGGUAAUGGGUAAAGAAGCACCGGCUAACUACGUG